rnacentral:rRNA from 1 species
UACAGAGGGUGCGAGCGUUGUCCGGAAUCACUGGGCGUAAAGGGCGCGUAGGCGGCUCGGUAAGCGGGUGGUGAAAGCCCGGGGCUCAACCCGGGGAGGGCCAUGCGAACUGUCGAGCUGGAGCACGGUAGAGGCACAUGGAAUUCCGGGUGUAGCGGUGGAAUGCGUAGAGAUCCGGAAGAACACCGGUGGCGAAGGCGGUGCGCUGGGCCGUAGCUGACGCUGAGGCGCGACAGCGUGGGGAGCAAACAGG